rnacentral:rRNA from 1 species
UCCAGAGGGUGCGAUCGUUAAUCGGAAUUACUGGGCGUAAAGCGUGCGUAGACGGUCAUGUAAGUCGGGUGUGAAAUCCCCGGGCUCAACCUGUGAAUUGCAUUCGAGACUGCGUGGCUAGGGUGCGGAAGAGGGAAGCGGAAUUUCCGGUGUAGCGGUGAAAUGCGUAGAUAUCGGAAGGAACAUCAGUGGCGAAAGCGGCUUCCUGGUCCAGCACCGACGUUCAGGCACGAAAGCGUGGGGAGUAAACAGG